rnacentral:rRNA from 1 species
AUACGGAAGGUCCGGGCGUUAUCCGGAUUUAUUGGGUUUAAAGGGAGCGCAGGCGGAGAUGCAAGCGUGACGUCAAAUUUCGGGGCUCAACCCCGUCUCGCGUCGCGAACUGCGUCCCUUGGUUGCGGGAAGGGGAGGCGGAACUCGUGGUGUAGCGGUGAAAUGCAUAGAUAUCACGAAGAACUCCGAUCGCGAAGGCAGCCUUCCGGCCCGUCAACGACGCUCAUGCUCGAAGGUGCGGGUAUCAAACGGGAUUAGAUACCCUGGUAGUCCGCACAGUAAACGAUGGACACCCGCGGUUUGGCCUGUAUGGCUGAGCCGCCAAGCGAAAGCGUUAAGUGUCCCACCUGGGGAGUACGCCGGCAACGGUGAAACUCAAAUGAAUUGGCGGGG